UGAACCAUGAUGAUAGCUGCUGACUUAUGAGUAAUGACCCAUGAUGACUACUGAGUGUCUGGAGCUCUUAGGUCCCA